CAGGAGUAUGUCCCUUCGGGGACAUCCGAUAAAAUUGGAACGAUACAGAGAAGAUUAGCAUGGCCCCUGCGCAAGGAUGACACGCAUAAAUCGAGAAAUGGUCCAAAUUUUUUUUUUCCCUAAAUUUUCAACCAAGAACACUUGAUGUUCUCAGGAUCGAAUUGCUUCAUGGUUUGCUUCAGGAGGAUGAGGCCUGGGAAUGGGAGUGGGAGCUGGAGCUGGUGCCGAUGGAGGGUCGAAACCCCCUUCUGGAGAGGGUGGAAACAGACGUCGGAACAUUGUUAAUGAUUUCGGAUCCUAGGUCAAUGUGGCUCCGGUCAUCUUUGACCCUCAUGAGACUGCAGGCAAAAUAGGUCCUUGGUGCUUUAAUGCUUGAAGCCUGUUGAUAUAGAGUAUAAUGACGGUAAUACGAUGAUGGACCCCUUGCGAAGGAGUUGUUGCAUUAAACUUUCUCCAGUCUUGUAGAUGCAUAUUCUUGCAGAGAAUUCCUUCAAAGUCUGAGCAUUUUCUGUGACCAUGAGAUUUUGCACAAUGAAUAUACAUUUUUGACCAAAAUUAUCUUUGGGGUUACUGAUCAUGAGGCUCAAAGUUCCCAGGAACCCACUGCAAUGAGAUGCUUGCUGCAAGAAUGUACCUAUGUAGCUGACAUUCAUCACUAGCCUACCGGAGCUUGAGUCGCAUUGCUGCUCUUCCAUCAUACGGAUGAGCAUUCUCCCACGCGCACCAUUAUUUUCCAAUUAAGUAAAUAUAUUGUAUCGUAGGUUC